rnacentral:rRNA from 1 species
GUUGUUGCAGUUAAAAAGCUCGUAGUUGGAUUUCUUUUAUGUAGGUAGGGUUCGGGUUCGUAUCGUCUUUCAUGGCGUGUACGGCCUUCCUCUUGCAUGAAAUUUGUGUAUAUCUCUCCUAGCAAUAGGAUUCCGGGAUAUACAUCGGUUACUGUGAAAAAAUCAAAGCGUUCAAAGCAGGCUUUAUGCUCUGAAUGUCCCAGCAUGGAAUAAUAAUUUAAGCCAUUGUCUUAUUUUGUUGGUUUACAAGACGAAGGAAUGUUUAAUAGGAUCAGUCGGGGAUAUCCGAACUUGGAAGUCAGAGGUGAAAUUCUUGGAUUUUCCAAAGUCGAACUACUGCGAAAGCAUUUAUCAAGGAUGUUUUCAUUAAUCAAGAACGAAAGUUUGGG